rnacentral:tRNA from 1 species
GGGCCCGUAGCUCAGCUGGUAGAGCGCUGCCCUUGCAAGGCAGAGGCCGAGGGUUCGAAUCCCUCCGGGUCCA